GUGAACGCUGGCGGUAGGCCUAACACCUGCAAGUCGAACGGCAGCACAGUAAGAGCUUGCUCUUACGGGUGGCGAGUGGCGGACGGGUGAGGAAUACAUCGGAAUCUACUUUUUCGUGGGGGAUAACGUAGGGAAACUUACGCUAAUACCGCAUACGACCUACGGGUGAAGGCAGGGGAUCUUCGGACCUUGCGCGAUUGAAUGAGCCGAUGUCGGAUUAGCUAGUUGGCGGGGUAAAGGCCCACCAAGGCGACGAUCCGUAGCUGGUCUGAGAGGAUGAUCAGCCACACUGGAACUGAGACACGGUCCAGACUCCUACGGGAGGCAGCAGUGGGGAAUAUUGGACAAUGGGCGCAAGCCUGAUCCAGCCAUACCGCGUGGGUGAAGAAGGCCUUCGGGUUGUAAAGCCCUUUUGUUGGGAAAGAAAAGCAGCAGGUUAAUACCCCGCUGUUCUGACGGUACCCAAAGAAUAAGCACCGGCUAACUUCGUG
rnacentral:rRNA from 1 species